UGUUGGAUUAAUUUUCUAAUUAAAGCAAAAUUUAAAAAAGAAAGUCUGUUCGACUUUUAAAAAAUUACAUGAUUUGAGUUCAGACCGGUGUAAACCAGGUCGGUUUCUAUCUUUUUUCAAUUUAUAAUAGUACGAAAGGACCCUAUAAAAAUUUAUUA
rnacentral:rRNA from 1 species